rnacentral:tRNA from 2 species
GCGGGUAUAGUACAAUGGUAGUAUUCCAGCUUUCCAAGCUGAGGAUGCGGGUUCGAUUCCCGCUACCCGCUCCA